AGGGCUGGCCACUGAGGAAGAAGUCAGGGAGAGGCUGGAGCUGUGGCCCUGGGAGCGCUGUGGGUUCGGCCAUGCAGGGGAGAGCUGGGGCGGGGAGCGGAGACUUGCCCUGGGUGGGAGCGCAUUGCCCUUGCCCUGGGUGGGAGCACAGGACCUUGAGCUGCUGUUAGUUGAGGGAGGUGGGUGGGAAGCUGGAUCCUGGCAUUUUGGGGAAGGAGGAGGGAUUGGACGCUCCUUUCACCCCACUUAUCUCAGGGCCCUUUUCUUUCCUACCCGGGGGGCAGACAGCCCGUGUGAUGUUUGCUGAGCUGACCUGCAGGGAGCCUGAUGGACCCAGGGGAUGGGAACGGGGCUGUGCCGGGUUCACUGCUCUGGGAAGGAAGCGCGUUAGAGCAGAGCAGGCGUGAGGACCAGGACUUGCAGGUUGUGCCCUGCUCUGGCUCUUCGAAAGGAGUGCUGUCCAGCAUGCCAUAGUGAGGGGCAUGGUUUGGGAGGACUCCUGGGUCCUGUUUCUAGCUGAGGGAAGGAGGGAAGGGGUGGGAGGAAGGCUUUGUGGCUCAGGACUCCUGGCUUCUUUUGGGGAUGUCACUUCCCCAGAAUGAACCCACAAAUCAUCUGUGCAUUGAGUCAAUCGAUCCCUUGGGUGAUGCUGUCAGCACGUACAUGGAGCGGUGAUCAACGUGAGCCAUGAUGCACGACUGAUCCCGCAGACCAGCUGCCAGCUCUGGGUGGUGGAGGAGCAGUCCAUCAGCCACAUCAACGGCGACUUCGACUGCAAGCGGGAGGUGCUGGAGGCCUCGGGCCAGGUCAGCAUUAACUGGCCCCGGGAGUGACCUUGCUGUGGGGAGGCUCCUCGAGGACCUGCCCAUCCCCUCUCAGAGACCUGCCUGCACAGCUUCACGUGCGCCCACACCCAGAGGACUCCGUGUAGAGGGGGCAGGGCCGCAGGCAUGGUUGUGGUUGAACUUUGAAGAUCUGUUUUGGGGGCCUAAUGCAAGACAUGUUAUAUUUUUAGAGCUGUUCUUCUACACCUGCUGCUUUCCCAGGGGAGAGAGACUUAAUUUAUAUGAAUGGGAGGGAGGGGGUUGUACUGGAACGGUCUGUUUUAGGCAGGAGUGAGGGCUGUCCUUGUCCCAUUGCUGGGUUCCCUGCCCCCAGUCUGGAGAAUGACUUGAGCCUUGUUUUGCUUCCACCCAAGAAGAUUAUAUUAAAAUAUAAUAAAGGAAAA